rnacentral:rRNA from 1 species
CUUUACUGUAGCUUUGCAUUGACUUUGAACCGGUCUGUGUAGGAUAGGUGGGAGGCUGUGAAACCGGGACGCUAGUUUCGGUGGAGCCAACCUUGAAAUACCACCCUGAUUUGUUUGAGGUUCUAACCUUAAUCCGUGAAUCCGGAUCGGGGACCGUGCAUGGUAGGCAGUUUGACUGGGGCGGUCUCCUCCCAAAAGGUAACGGAGGAGUACGAAGGUACGCUUAGGGCGGUCGGACAUCGCCCAUAAAGUGCAAUGGCAAAAGCGUGCUUGACUGCGAGACCCACAAGUCGAGCAGGUGCGAAAGCAGGUCAUAGUGAUCCGGUGGUUCUGUAUGGAAGGGCCAUCGCUCAACGGAUAAAAGGUA